rnacentral:rRNA from 1 species
UGGGGAAUAUUGGACAAUGGGCGAAAGCCUGAUCCAGCCAUGCCGCGUGUGUGAAGAAGGUCUUCGGAUUGUAAAGCACUUUAAGUUGGGAGGAAGGGCAUUAACCUAAUACGUUAGUGUUUUGACGUUACCGACAGAAUAAGCACCGGCUAACUCUGUGCCAGCAGCCGCGGUAAUACAGAGGGUGCAAGCGUUAAUCGGAAUUACUGGGCGUAAAGCGCGCGUAGGUGGUUUGUUAAGUUGGAUGUGAAAUCCCCGGGCUCAACCUGGGAACUGCAUUCAAAACUGACUGACUAGAGUAUGGUAGAGGGUGGUGGAAUUUCCUGUGUAGCGGUGAAAUGCGUAGGUAUAGGAAGGAACACCAGUGGCGAAGGCGACCACCUGGACUAAUACUGACACUGAGGUGCGAAAGCGUGGGGAGCAAACA